rnacentral:rRNA from 1 species
ACAGAGGUCCCAAGCGUUGUUCGGAUUUACUGGGCGUAAAGGGAGCGUAGGUGGCUUGUUAAGUCUGGUGUGAAAUCUCUGAGCUUAACUCAGAAACUGCACUAGAUACUAGCGAGCUUGAGUGUUGGAGGGGAGAUUGGAAUUCUCGGUGUAGCAGUGAAAUGCGUAGAUAUCGAGAGGAACACCAGUGGCGAAGGCGAAUCUCUGGACAACAACUGACACUGAUGCUCGAAAGCUAGGGGAUCAAACGGGAUUAGAUACCCCGGUAGUCCUAGCUGUAAACGGUGCACGCUUGCUGUAAGUGGAAUCAACCCCACUUGUGGCGUAGCUAACGCGAUAAGCAUGCCGCCUGGGAAGUACGGUCGCAAGAUUA